UACGUAGGGGGCAAGCGUUGUCCGGAAUCAUUGGGCGUAAAGCGCGUGUAGGCGGCCUUGUAAGUCCGUUCUGAAAGUCCGGGGCUCAACCCCGGGAGGCGGAUGGAUACUGCAAGGCUCGAGUACGGAAGAGGCGAGUGGAAUUCCCGGCGUAGCGGUGAAAUGCGCAGAUAUCGGGAGGAACACCAAUGGCGAAGGCAGCUCGCUGGGACGUUACUGACGCUGAGACGCGAAAGCGUGGGGAGCAAACAGG
rnacentral:rRNA from 1 species